AUGGAGGCGACAAGGCGGGGACCCACAAGGAUGCUGCCGCCGCCGCCGUCCCACCGCUGCCCAGGCUCCAGUAAGAGCGCGAGGCCGCCCUCGCCAGGGUCCCUCCCACCGGCCCUCCCAGGGGCACAGAGACCCUGGCCCGCGGUGGAAGUGGGGAAACACGAGGCCACGGCGCAUCCAGACGGAGCGGGCUCCCGGGGCUCAACCCGAGGUCGCACGGACCCAGACACAAGAGAUCCACGCGGCCAGCGUCCACACCCGAGCCUGGCGACUGGAGGAGCAAAAGAGAGACCCCCGCUUGCGGCGUGCGCACACACCUCCCUCUCCGACGGAGCCAGCCUCGCUACCCCCUCCUCCGCCUCGGCCCGCGGAUUAGGUUACCGUGGCCGGGCGAGGAUUUUUACUGGAUACGAGAAUAGCACAGGAAACCCAUCCGGAGGAGAAAGAGCGGUGAGCGCGGUGGAGAGUCAAAAAGAGAAGAAGAGAGGCUCUCGGAGAUACCCCCUCGCACUCCGCCCCCAGCCCCAGCCCAAGCCUCAGGCUGCGGGGGAUCCUGCACCCUCCCACCACUACCUUUUCCCCGGUAGAAAAAAACCUCAUUGUAGCGAGAUAGAAGAGAGAGAAAGAGAGAGAAGGCCGGGUGUAGGUAGGUAG
rnacentral:lncRNA from 1 species